GUGCUCGCUUUGGCAGCACAUAUACUAAAACUGGAACGAUACAGAGAAGAUUAGCAUGGCCUCUGCACGAGGAUGAUGUGCAAAUUCAUGAAAUGUUCCAUAUUUUU
rnacentral:snRNA from 1 species